rnacentral:rRNA from 1 species
UACGGGGGGGGCAAGCGUUGUUCGGAAUUACUGGGCGUAAAGGGCGUGUAGGCGGCCAACUAAGUCCGACGUGAAAUCCCCAGGCUUAACCUGGGAACUGCGUCGGAUACUGGAUGGCUUGAAUCCGGGAGAGGGAUGCAGAAUUCCAGGUGUAGCGGUGAAAUGCGUAGAGAUCAGGAGGAACACCUGUGGUGUAGACGGCUUUCUGGACCGUGACUGACGCUGAGGUACGAAAGCGUGGGGAGCAAACAGG